GCGAACGCUGGCGGCAGGCUUAACACAUGCAAGUCGAGCGGGCGUAGCAAUACGUCAGCGGCAGACGGGAGAGUAACACGUGGGAACGCGCCCUUCGGUUCGGAAUAACUCAGGGAAACUUGAGCUAAUACCGGAUACGCCCUAACGGGGAAAGAUUUAUCGCCGAAGGAACGGCCCGCGUCGGAUUAGCUAGUUGGUGAGGUAAUGGCUCACCAAGGCGACGAUCCGUAGCUGGUCUGAGAGGAUGACCAGCCUCACUGGGACUGAGACACGGCCCAGACUCCUACGGGAGGCAGCAGUGGGGAAUAUUGGACAAUGGGCGCAAGCCUGAUCCAGCAAUGCCGCGUGGGUGAUGAAGGCCUUCGGGUUGUAAAGCCCUUUCGGCGGGGACGAUGAUGACGGUACCCGCAGAAGAAGCCCCGGCUAACUUCGU
rnacentral:rRNA from 1 species